CACGGGGGGAGCAAGCGUUGUUCGGAAUCACUGGGCGUAAAGGGCGCGUAGGCGGUUGGAUAAGUCAGCUGUGAAAACCACGGGCUUAACUCGUGGCCUGCAGUUGAGACUGUCUGGCUUGAGUGUGGGAGAGGAGAGUGGAAUUCCUGGUGUAGCGGUGAAAUGCGUAGAUAUCAGGAGGAACACCGGUGGCGAAGGCGGCUCUCUGGACCACAACUGACGCUGAGGCGCGAAAGCUAGGGGAGCAAACAGG
rnacentral:rRNA from 1 species